AGACAGAGUCUGUAAGGGUAUGUCUACAGUACGAAAUUAUUUUGAAAUUAUUCUAUUUGGAUUUUCGGAACCUAUUUUAUACUUUCGGUCUUCUGUGUCCCCACUAAAGCGCAUGAAUUCGGCAGAUUGUAUUCACAGUACCAAGGCUAGCGUCGAAUGUCAGAGUGGUGCACUGUGGGUAGCUAUCCCACAGU